UACAGAGGCCUCGAGCGUUAGGCGGAAUCACUGGGUUUAAAGCGUGUGUAGGUGGAUGCCUAAGUACCUUGUGAAAAUCCCACAGCUUAACUGUGGAAUUGCUUGGUAUACUGGGUGUCUUGAGCCACUCAGGGGCUACCGGAACAAAUGGUGGAGCGGUGAAAUGCGUAGAUAUCGGGAGGAACACCGGUGGCGAAGGCGGUUCUCUGGGCCUUACCCUGACGCUGAGGAGCGAAAGCGUGGGGAGCGA
rnacentral:rRNA from 1 species